rnacentral:rRNA from 1 species
AACCAAGAAAUUUAGUCAUUUUUUUAACGGUAAAAAGACAGUUAGGCAAAUAGUACAGGAAUUAUAAGAUCCCUAGUAAAGGAGUAAAAUCUAUAUACUAGGAGUUAUAUCAGACAUAAUUUAUUUUAGGUGCUGAAUCUGUGAUAACUUCAAGGGAAACUGGGAUUGGAUACCCCAUUAUUUUUAGUUGUAAACUUAGUCUAAACUUACCAGAGUACUACGAAUAAAAAGUUUAAAACUCAAAGGGCUUGGCGGUGUUUUAGACCUCUCAGGGGAACCUGUCUCAUAAUCGACAAUCCGCGUUAGACCUGACCCUUUAUAGCAAUACAGUUUGUAUACCGUCGUCGUCAGGUAACUUCUAAAAAUAUGGUAGUUAGCUUGAUAAUUAUAUUUAAUUAGGACGUCAGAUCAAGGUGCAGCCGAUAAAAGGGAGAGGAUGGGUUACAAUUAUAUAUUUAUAACUACGGAGAAAACUUGAAAUUGAGUAAUUAGAAGGAGGACUUGAAAGUAAUUCUAGUUAUAUAAAUAGAAUGAAUAAGGCUCUGAAACGUG